UACGUAGGGGGCAAGCGUUGUCCGGAAUCAUUGGGCGUAAAGCGCGCGUAGGCGGCCCGGUAAGUCCGUUGUGAAAGUCAAAGGCUCAACCUUUGAACGCCGAUGGAUACUGCCGGGCUAGAGUCCGGAAGAGGCGAGUGGAAUUCCUGGUGUAGCGGUGGAAUGCGCAGAUAGUCAGGAGGAACACCAAUUGCGAAGGCAGCUCGCUGGGACGUUACUGACGCUGAGACGCGAAAGCGUGGGAGCAAACAGG
rnacentral:rRNA from 1 species